GCCAAAGGGCCAAACUUCAGUCUGAAUCCUCUGCUUCUCCCUCUUCUGUUUGUCCUCUUAGUUAGAUCACAGACCGCAUGUGUGUUUAUCAUCUUGUUUUGUUAAUGUUUACUUCCUUGUAGUUUUAUGAUUUACUGAAGACAUUUUAUAGCAUUAAAGCACCAGCUUAAGUUAGACAAGUGUUGUUGUAAAGCUAUAUCUGUAUUAAGCCUUAAUUGGUUGAAACAAAGUUCUCAGCUUUAGAGUGGGGUGGAUAUGCACUAAUUGUGGACUGGGAUGAUAGCCACUUAAUGUGAAAGAGCUGCUAAUGCACUGCUUACAGUGCAUUAGCCAACAAAUUAACCAUUUAUCCAUUGGACUGUAUUUAUUUCAAGUUUCUUGUUUCUGGUAAUGUUCUGUUUGAGUCGUGAAUAAAGAAAAUAAUUUU